CUGGGAUUACAGGUGUGAACCACCACGCCCGGCCCCUAAAAAGCCCAUAUGUUUUCUUAAAAUCAUUUUCAGGUAAGCUUUUUCCAUGGGUUUUCGUGAUGAUAUAACAUACUCAGAACCCAUAGGCAAGUUCAUUUUAAAAAAAGAUGACCUCUUACAAAUGGUUCUAUUUCUUUCUCUGGCUAUUUGGUGUCAAGAUGACAAGUGGCUGGGAGGUGUGGGGUCUGUGUAGGAAGUCUCCCACAUGGCCACACUGAGAAUGUUUAUUGUAGAAAGGGAACUUUUGCCCUGUGAAGUCACCUCCUCCGAGUCACCAGUAGCUUUCUGAUAUUCUAUCACAGGAAAUUCCUGGUGGUCCACAAAAGCAGUCUUCUGAGUGCAGCUGCAGAGAGAGACAGAAAAUAAUUGCCGAAUUUGACAGCCUAUCUGUUUGCAAGUCUGCACUGUUUGAGAACCUCUUGAAAGCCCCACAGAGCUUGUUGGUGUCACCCUGGUUCUGGGCACACUCCAAAAACUGUUUGAUCUCAUGGAAACAAGGCUGCUGCUGCUGUGCUGGCCAGGUUCCCUGAUGCUGCUGGUAAGUGAUGUCAAGUUUUGCAGGCUCACCAUUACUUCCUCCACUGAAGCUCCCAGUGAGGGCAUAACCCAGUGUGUGACCCACAGCAGAGCCUACAGCCACGCCAGCUGCAGUGGUUGCCAUUUGGGCCAUCAGACUUGGCUGCCGGGGUGCAGGAGCAGGAGAGCCAACUGCAGAUGGGGGUGCCACUGCUGGCGGCUGAGCUGCUGGUGCUAGCCUGGGUGUAGCUCUCAUCUGAGGUGCCUGGCUGGUGGGAGGGGCCCUGUAGGAGGUGUGGCUUCGGCUUCCACGUGGCAUACUAGCUGCACGGCGGCUCAGUGUUUGGUAAUACUCAUUUUUGAAUUGAGUUGUUUGUUUUUGUCAUUGAGUUUUAGGAGUUGUUUAUUCUGGAUACGAAUCCCUUAUCAGAUAUGUCAUUUGCAAAUAUUUUCUGUCAUUCUGUGGGUUGUUUUUUCACUCUGUUGAUUGUGUCCUUUGAUGCAAAAAGUUUUAAACUUUCAUUAAAAGAAUGGUUCUUUAAUAUUUACUUUUGUUGACUGUGUUGUUGGUGUCGUAUCCAAGAAAUGGUUGUCAAAUCCAAUCUCAUGAAGAUUUCCCCGUUUUUUCUGAGAGU
rnacentral:lncRNA from 1 species